CUUCUUCCUUAGUUUUUCUAUUUCACAUCUGCAAAUCUAUAAACAGUAUCCACAACAUGUCUUGAUGCCUUGUGCAGAGAUCCUACUGUAAGCCUUUGUCACACACACAUAUACAAUUAUAGCAAAUGUCUUCAAUUAUUUACAAAGUACUAAAAAUGUAACUGUUUUUAGAAAUUCAAUCAUUCCAUCACUCUUGAAGUUUUGCACUUUAAUGAUUUGUAAUUUGAAAUUCUAAUAUUUAGUUUCUGUUAUUGUUUCAUUCAUAGAUAUGUUUUGAAAUUACAGUCAUACCCAGGUUAUUUUUGAAACAGUAGGUGAAUUAGAUUUUGGGAGAGUUUAUAUAUGGACCAGUAAUAUGCAGCUUUUCUCCUCUCUGGUUCUAGCUGCUCCUGAUCAGUACCAAAGUUUAUGUGGGUUUAUGUUAGCAACAUGCACAUUUAAAUGAGUUUAUGAUUCAUUACAGCCUUUGAAUUAUGUGGUCAUUCCUUGCAGGUUUUUACACCAUGAGUAUUGGGUAUGGUUUAGUUAGUUACUACACUUCAAGUUGUUCUUCCAUGAUCUGUGUUGUUUCAUUUUCUUAUUGUGGCAUUGGUGUGAAAAUGGCAUGAAAGUGUUUUUUAAAUUCACUUGUUUUAACCAGUCAAUAAAAACAAUCCACAUCUUAGAA